rnacentral:rRNA from 1 species
GUAGCGAUAAAACUUGUGAAAAUCAAGUUCGCCGAAAGUCUAAGGUUCCUGGGGAAGGUUCAUCCGCCCAGGGUUAGUCGGCUCCUAAGGUGAGGCCGAAAGGCGUAGUCGAUGGAAAACAGGUCAAUAUUCCUGUACCACCGUAGUUCAUUAUGAGCGAUGGGGGGACGCAGAGGGAUAGGCGGUCCGGGUGAUGGAAAUCCCGGUCUAAGCGUGUAGGUAGGUUGCGUAGGCAAAUCCGCGCAAUCGUUAAUCUGAGGCGUGAUGGGGAGUCCCGUAAGGGACGCAAACCCGCUGAUUCCGCACUGCCAAGAAAAGCCUCUAGCCAGAACGAAGGUGACCGUACCGCAAACCGACACAGGUAGACGUGGAGAGAAUCCUAAGGCGCUUGAGAGAACUCUCGUUCAGGAACUCGGCAAAUUACCACCGUAACUUCGGGAGAAGGUGGGCCUUCAUUAGGUGAAAUCCCUGCGGGUGGAGCCGAAGAAGGUUGCAGAGAAUAGGUCCAGGCGACUGUUUACUAAAAACACAGGACUCUGCAAAGUCGUCAAGACGACGUAUAGGGUCUGACGCCUGCCCGGUGCUGGAAGGUUAAAGGGAGGGGUUAGCUCCUUCGGGAGCGAAGCUCUGAACUGAAGCCCCAGUGAACGGCGGCCGUAACUAUAACGGUCCUAAGGUAGCGAAAUUCCUUGUCGGGUAAGUUCCGACCUGCACGAAUGGCGUAACGAUCUGGACGCUGUCUUAACGAGAGACUCAGCGAAUUUGUAGUACCGGUGAAGAUGCCGGUUGCCCGCGACAAGACGGAAAGACCCCGUGCACCUUUACUAUAACUUAACUUUGGUGCCCGGUGCAGGACGUGCAGUAUAGGUGGGAGGCUACGAAGCUGGGUCGUCAGAUUCGGUGGAGCCACCAGUGAGAUACCACCCUUCUUGUAUUGAGCAUCUAACCUUGUUCCCUGAAUCGGGAAGAGGAACAGAGUUUGGCGGGUAGUUUGACUGGGGCGGUCGCCUCCCAAAAGGUAACGGAGGCGUACAAAGGUGGGCUCAGGCUGUUUGGAAAUCAGCCGUAGAGUGCAAAGGCAUAAGCCCGCUUGACUGCGAGACAUACAGGUCGAGCAGAGACGAAAGUCGGUCUUAGUGAUCCGGUGGUUCCGAAUGGAAGGGCCAUCGCUCAACGGAUAAAAGGUACGCCGGGGAUAACAGGCUGAUCUUGGCCAAGAGUUCAUAUCGACGCCAAGGUUUGGCACCUCGAUGUCGGCUCAUCGCAUCCUGGAGCUGAAGAAGGUUCCAAGGGUUCGGCUGUUCGCCGAUUAAAGCGGUACGUGAGCUGGGUUUAGAACGUCGUGAGACAGUUCGGUCCCUAUCUGUCGUGGGCGUAGGAGAUUUGAGGGGGGCUGCCCCUAGUACGAGAGGACCGGGUUGACGCACCUCUGAUGUACCAGUUGUUUCGCCAGAAGCACCGCUG